rnacentral:rRNA from 1 species
AUUGAACGCUGGCGGCAUGCCUAACACAUGCAAGUCGAGCGGAGCGGCGGACGGGUGAGUAAUGCCUCGGAAUCUGCCCGGUAGUGGGGGAUAACGUCCGGAAACGGGCGCUAAUAUCGCAUACUAUCAGAUCAGCCUAUGUCGGAUUAGCUAGUUGGUGGGGUAAAGGCCUACCAAGGCGACGAUCCGUAACUGGUCUGAGAGGAUGAUCAGUCACACUGGAACUGAGACACGGUCCAGACUCCUACGGGAGGCAGCAGUGGGGAAUAUUGGACAAUGGGCGAAAGCCUGAUCCAGCCAUGCCGCGUGUGUGAAGAAGGUCUUCGGAUUGUAAAGCACUUUUAGUAGGGAAGCGGUACCUACAGAAUAAGCACCGGCUAACUACGUGCCAGCAGCCACGGUAAUAC